rnacentral:rRNA from 1 species
AGACUCUCGGCAACGGAUAUCUCGGCUCUUGCAUCGAUGAAGAACGUAGCGAAAUGCGAUACUUGGUGUGAAUUGCAGAAUCCCGUGAACCAUCGAGUCUUUGAACGCAAGUUGCGCCCGAAGCCAUUAGGCUGAGGGCACGCCUGCCUGGGUGUUGCACAUC